rnacentral:lncRNA from 1 species
AAAACAUUCAUAAUUUAAAGCAUAUGAAUAAAUCAUAAUAAUAUCAACUGAAAAAUCAAAAACAUUUACUGAAUUAAUAAACCAAAAUCAAUACAAUAGAAUUCCAAGACAAAAAUAAAAUCUGGAAAUUAAAAUAUGAUUGUAAGUAUAAAUAGUUCAUUACUUAUACCAAAAAAUCCAUAAUGGUAUUUAUAAUACAUAAGGCAACCCUAAAAUCAAAGCCCGAAUAA